UACGAAGGGGGCGAGCGUUGUUCGGAUUUACUGGGCGUAAAGGGCGCGCAGGCGGCUCAUUUUGUCAGGCGUGAAAGCCCCGGGCUUAACCUGGGAGGUGCGUUUGAUACGGAUGGGCUAGAGUUCGGGAGAGGAGAGUGGAAUUCCCAGUGUAGAGGUGAAAUUCGUAGAUAUUGGGAAGAACACCGGUGGCGAAGGCGGCUCUCUGGGACGGUACUGACGCUGAGACGCGAAAGCGUGGGGAGCGAACAGG
rnacentral:rRNA from 1 species